ACAUAUGUGUGUGGCUAGCGGCUCGCAUCCACUAUGCUCCAUAAUGCGGUGUGCACUGGUAUAAGGCAUUAGAAAAAAAAAGGGGAGGGGAGAGAGAGUGCAUGUGCUUUUCAUAAAAAUCUCACUCAUUCUCCACUCUCUUUCUCUCUCCGGUUAAUUACCAACUCGUAUGGAUUUGUAUGAACGUGAGAUAUAUCAUUGGACCGGGACUGGCCAACAAAUAGUACACAACUUUCACAACGGAUCCCAUUCACACGGAUCACCGG
rnacentral:misc_RNA from 1 species